CACGUAGGCACCAAGCGUUGUCCGGAUUUAUUGGGCGUAAAGAGCUCGUAGGCGGUUCGGUAAGUCGGGUGUGAAAACUCUGGGCUCAACCCAGAGCCGCCACCCGAUACUGCUGUGACUAGAGUCCGGAAGAGGCAAGUGGAAUUCCCGGUGUAGCGGUGAAAUGCGCAGAUAUCGGGAGGAACACCAAUGGCGAAGGCAGCUUGCUGGGACGGUACUGACGCUGAGGCGCGAAAGCGUGGGGAGCAAACAGG
rnacentral:rRNA from 1 species